UACGUAGGGCGCAAGCGUUGUCCGGAAUUAUUGGGCGUAAAGAGCUCGUAGGCGGCUUGUCACGUCGGGUGUGAAAGCCCGGGGCUUAACCCCGGGUCUGCAUUCGAUACGGGCAGGCUAGAGUGUGGUAGGGGAGAUCGGAAUUCCUGGUGUAGCGGUGAAAUGCGCAGAUAUCAGGAGGAACACCGGUGGCGAAGGCGGAUCUCUGGGCCAUUACUGACGCUGAGGAGAGAAAGCGUGGGGAGCGAACAGG
rnacentral:rRNA from 1 species